AUGUAUGCAUUGGACCCUAAAGACUUGAAGCCAUUGAAUAGCUGCUGCGAUGCUCAGAUUUCUGUUUUUGGUUCUAAGCUUCAUAAGAAGAUGCGAGACUCUAAUAUUUUUGUUGUGGGAUCUGGUGCUCUUGGAUGUGAAUUCUUGAAGAACUUUGCUUUAAUGGGGCUUUCUUGUGGCCGUAAAGGGAAGCUAACUAUAACAGAUGAUUAUGUCAUUGAAAAAAGCAACUUGAGCCGGCAAUUCCUGUUUCGUGAUUGGAACAUUGGACAGGCAAAAUCUACAGUAUCCGCUACAGCUGCUAGUGCUAUCAACUCCAGCCUCCAUAUUGAUGCUCUGCAGAAUCGUGCCUGUCCAGAGACUGAACUUGUUCUCAAUGAUGCAUUCUUGGAGGGCCUUGAUGCUGUGAUCAAUGCACUUGAUAAUGUCAAUGCUAGGAUCUACGUGGACAUGGGAUGCCUGUACUUCCAGAAACCAUUCUUGGAAUCUGGAACGCUGGGUCCCAAAUGUAAUACACAGAUGGUGAUUCCUCACCUUACUGAAAACUAUGGAGCUUCACGAGAUCCUCCUGAGAAACAGGCACCAAUGUGCACAGUUCAUUAUUUUCCGCACAAUAUUGACCAUUGUCUAACAUGGGCUCGCUCAAAAUUUGAGGGUCUGCUAGAGAAAACUCCAAAUGAAGUGAACUCAUUUAUAUCUAAUCCUGCUGAAUAUGCUGCUGCUAUGAGAAAGGCAGGUGAUGCUCAAGCCAGAUUACUUCUCUAA
rnacentral:rRNA from 1 species